UACGAAGGGGGCUAGCGUUGCUCGGAAUUACUGGGCGUAAAGCGCACGUAGGCGGCUUUGUAAGUUAGAGGUGAAAGCCCGGGGCUCAACUCCGGAAUUGCCUUUAAGACUGCAUCGCUUGAGUUGUGGAGAGGUAAGUGGAAUUCCGAGUGUAGAGGUGAAAUUCGUAGAUAUUCGGAAGAACACCAGUGGCGAAGGCGACUUACUGGACACAUACUGACGCUGAGGUGCGAAAGCGUGGGGAGCAAACAGG
rnacentral:rRNA from 1 species